AAAGUUUUCUGGUGGUAACCUCGAAACUUUAAGCGAUAAACCUGGUAAUCCGGUGCAGCAGGCGCUGAAAGAUUUCCACGAGAAGUACUAUUCCGCCAAUCUGAUGAAGGCGGUUAUUUACAGCAAUAAACCGCUGCCGGAGUUGGCAAAAAUGGCGGCGGACACCUUUGGUCGCGUGCCGAACAAAGAGAGCAAAAAACCGGAAAUCACCGUGCCGGUAGUCACCGACGCGCAAAAGGGCAUUAUCAUUCAUUACGUCCCUGCCCUUUGUACAACGUUUCCUGACAAAAAGUACGUCAUGUGACACACACCGGUGCCGGUGACGUUUUGCCGGAUAUCAGUUCUCCGCAGAUGCAUUCCGGCACUUUAUUAUCCGGUCGCUGACUGACGAUAUUCCGCCUGACGGAGAUGAAAAAGAGAUUGCCCGGUUCAUUCGCCGCCAGCAGUUUAUUUAUCCGGGUGUAAUCACACAGAAAUACGUCCCUGCCCUUUGUACAAUCCCG
rnacentral:rRNA from 1 species